GAUGAACGCUGGCGGCGUGCCUAAUACAUGCAAGUCGAGCGAACAGAUGAGGAGCUUGCUCCUCUGACGUUAGCGGCGGACGGGUGAGUAACACGUGUAUCACCUCCCUAUAAGACUGGGAUAACUACGGGAAACCGGAGCUAAUACCGGAUAAUAUAUUGAACCGCAUGGUUCAAUAGUGAAAUACGGUUUUGUUGUCGGUUAUGGAUGGAUCCGCGCCGUAUCAGCUUGUUGGUAGGGUAGCGGCUUACCACGGCAACGACGGGUAGCCGGCCUGAGAGGGUGAACGGCCAGAUUGGGACUGAGAUACGGCCCAGACUCCUACGGGAGGCAGUAGUGGGGAAUAGUGCACAAUGGGCGGAAGCCUGAUGCAGAAACGCCGCGUGCGGGAUGACGGCCUUCGGGUUGUAAACCGAUUUCGCCUGUGAUGAAGCGUGAGUGACGGUAAUGGGUAAAGAAGCACCGGCUAACUACGUG
rnacentral:rRNA from 1 species